rnacentral:rRNA from 1 species
GACGAACGCUGGCGGCGUGCUUAACACAUGCAAGUCGAACGGAGUGGCGAACGGGUGAGUGACACGUGGGUGACCUGCCCUGCACUUCGGGAUAAGCCUGGGAAACUGGGUCUAAUACCGGACAGUGUGGGCUGGGCCCGCGGCCUAUCAGCUUGUUGGUGGGGUAAUGGCCUACCAAGGCGGCGACGGGUAGCCGGCCUGAGGGGGUGGACGGCCACAUGAGGACUGAGAGAGGGACCAGAGGCGUACGGGAGGCAGCAGUGGGGAGUAUGACCGAAUGGGCGGACGCCUGAUGAAGAGACGCCGGGUGGGGGAUGCAGGGCUGUGGGUUGUGAACUAGUUUCACAAUCGACGCGGUAGAUGGAGAAGAAGCACCGGCUAACUACGUGCCAGCAGCCGCGGUAAUAC